rnacentral:rRNA from 1 species
CCGAGACCGGGAUAACGGGUGGAAACACACGCUAAUACCGGAUGACCUCCAGGGAUCACAGCCUGGGGGAAAGCUCCGGCGCUUGGGGAGGGGCCUGCGGCCCAUCAGCUAGUUGGUGCGGUAACGGCGCACCAAGGCGAAGACGGGUAGGGGGUGUGAGAGCAUGACCCCCCACAAUGGGACUGAGACACGGCCCAUACUCCUACGGGAGGCAGCAGCAGGGAAUAUUGCGCAAUGGGCGAAAGCCUGACGCAGCGACGCCGCGUGAAUGAUGAAGGCCUUCGGGUUGUAAAAUUCUUUUCUGGGGGAAGAGGAAGGACGGUACCCCAGGAAUAAGCGUCGGCUAACUACGUGCCAGCAGCCGCGGUAAUACGUAGGACGCGAGCGUUAUCCGGAUUUAUUGGGCGUAAAGCGUCUGUAGGCGGCUGAGUAAGUUGGGCGUGAAAGCUCCGGGCUUAACCCGGAGAGGCCGUUCAAUACUGCUCGGCUAGAGGGGGUCAGAGGGGCGUGGAAUUUCCGGUGUAGCGGUAAAAUGCGCAGAUAUCGGAAGGAACACCAGUGGCGAAGGCGGCGCCCUGGGGCCGCCCUGACGCUGAGAGACGAAAGCUAGGGGAGCGAACAGGAUUAGAGACCCUGGUAGUCCUAGCCCUAAACGAUGGAUGCUAGGUGUGGGGCCGAGAAGGCUCUGUGCCGCAGCAAACGCGAUAAGCAUCCCGCCUGAGGACUACGGCCGCAGGGUUAAAACUCAAACGAAUUGACGGGGACCCGCACAAGCAGCGGAGCGUGUGGUUUAAUUCGAUUCUACACGAAGAACCUUACCUGGGCUUGACAUCACUGUGGUAGUGAAGCGAAAGCUAAGCGACCCUUCGGGGAGCAGUGACAGGUGCUGCAUGGCUGUCGUCAGCUCGUGCCGUGAGGUGUCGGGUUAAGUCCCGUAACGAGCGCAACCCUUGCCCUUAGUUAUACGUGUCUAAGGGGACUGCCGGCGGGAAGCCGGAGGAGGGUGGGGAUGACGUCAAGUCAGCAUGGCCCCUUAUGUCCAGGGCUACACACACGCUACAAUGGGCGGUACAAUGGGCAGCCAAGCCGUGAGGCGGAGCGAAUCCCAUCAAAGCCGUUCGUAGUUCGGAUAGCAGGCUGCAACUCGCCUGCUUGAAGCUGGAGUUGCUAGUAACCGCGCGUCAGCUAUAGUGCGGUGAAUACGUUCCCGGGUCUUGUACACACCGCCCGUCACGUCAUGGGAGUCGGUAACGCCUGAAGCCGGUAGCUGAACCUUAACAGGGGGGCGCCGUCGAAGGCGGGACUGGCGACUGGGACGAAGUCGUAACAAGGUA